rnacentral:rRNA from 1 species
CGGAUUGCAGGCUGNAACCCGCCUGCAUGAAGCCGGAAUCGCUAGUAAUCGCGGACCAGAAUGCCGCGGUGAAUACGUUCCCGGGUCUUGUACACACCGCCCGUCACACCAUGGGAGUCGGGAAUGCCCGAAGUCAGUGGCCCAACCGGAAGGGGGAGCUGCCGAAGGCAGGCCCGGUGACUGGGGUGAAGUCGUAACAAGGUAGC